rnacentral:rRNA from 1 species
UGAGCAAUCUGCCCUUCUCAUCGGAAUAAGCGUUGGAAACGACGUCUAAUGCCGAAUAUGACCUCCUUUCGCAUGAUCGGAGGUGGAAAGCUCCGGCGGAGAAGGAUGAGCUCGCGGCCUAUCAGCUAGUUGGUGUGGGUAAUGGCCCACCAAGGCGACGACGGGUAGCCGGCCUGAGAGGGUGACCGGCCACACUGGGACUGAGACACGGCCCAGACUCCGUAGGGAGG